UACAGAGGUCCCGAGCGUUGUUCGGAUUCACUGGGCGUAAAGGGUGCGUAGGUGGUGAGGUAAGUCGGAUGUGAAAUCUCCGAGCUCAACUCGGAAAUGGCAUUGGAAACUACCUUGCUAGAGGGUUGGAGGGGGGACUGGAAUACUUGGUGUAGCAGUGAAAUGCGUAGAUAUCAAGUGGAACACCAGUGGCGAAGGCGAGUCCCUGGACAACACCUGACACUGAGGCACGAAAGCUAGGGGAGCAAACAGG
rnacentral:rRNA from 1 species